rnacentral:lncRNA from 1 species
CGCGCUGUUCACGACCAUUGUACGAUUCUAGCACGCCCUUGACGUCCUCAUCACGCUCUUCUUACGACCUGACUACGUUCAUACUACGACCAUCAUUCUCAUUGUCAUUUUCACAUAAAAUAUAUUAAAUCUCUCCAGGUUUUGUUUGUCUGUAUGUAAUUGGGACUUAUUGUCCAUAUUAUCUAACGGCUCAACCAUGCUUCUCGU